rnacentral:rRNA from 1 species
CCUACGGGAGGCAGCAGUGAGGAAUAUUGGUCAAUGGACGGAAGUCUGAACCAGCCAUGCCGCGUGCAGGAAGACGGCUCUAUGAGUUGUAACCUGCUUUUGUACAAGGGUAAACCUGAAUACGUGUAUUCAGCUGAAAGUACUGUACGAAUAUGGAUCGGCUCACUCAGUUCCAGCAGCCGCGAUAGUACGGAGGAUCCAAGCGUUAUCCGGAUUUUUUGGGGUUAAAGGGUGCGUAGGCGGAAUAUCAAGUCAGCGGUAAAAAUUCGGGGCUCAACCCCGUCGUGCCGUUGAAACUGAUGUUCUUGAGUGGGCGAGAGGUAUGCGGAAUGCGUGGUGUAGCGGUGAAAUGCAUAGAUAUCACGCAGAACUCCGGUUGCGAAGGCAGAAUACCGGCGCCCAACUGACGCUGAAGCACGAAAGCGUGGGUAUCGAACAGGAUUAGAUACCCGAGUAGUC